AACGAACGCUGGCGGCAUGCCUAACACAUGCAAGUCGAACGAAGUCUUCGGACUUAGUGGCGCACGGGUGCGUAACGCGUGGGAAUCUGCCCUUGGGUGCGGAAUAACUUCUCGAAAGGGAUGCUAAAUACCGCAUAAUGUCGUAAGACCAAAGAUUUAUCGCCCAAGGAUGAGCCCGCGUAAGAUUAGCUAGUUGGUGGGGUAAAAGCCUACCAAGGCGACGAUCUUUAGCUGGUCUGAGAGGAUGAUCAGCCACACUGGGACUGAGACACGGCCCAGACUCCUACGGGAGGCAACAGUGGGGAAUAUUGGACAAUGGGCGAAAGCCUGAUCCAGCAAUGCCGCGUGAGUGAUGAAGGCCCUAGGGUUGUAAAGCUCUUUUACCAGGGAUGAUAAUGACAGUACCUGGAGAAUAAGCUCCGGCUAACUCCGUGCCAGCAGCCGCGGUAAU
rnacentral:rRNA from 1 species